UAGCUUAAGCUCUUAAUUAAUUAAUUAAUAUUAAUUGGUUAGGGGAUAGGGAUAGGGAUAGGCCCUUAUCCCCCUUUAUACCCAAAUGCUAAUUUUUUAUCCGAGAACAGUAGUUCUCGGUUACCUAUAAUAACCGGUUAUAACUAUCCCCAUCAACACCUCUAUUUUCUAUAUAAAACUACCUAAUAUUUUUCUUAUUCCAUAUUAUCUAUCCAAACGCUAUUUUUCUUAUCCCCGGGAACAACCCAAUUUUCAUCCAAACGCUAUUUUUCUUAUUUCCAUACUUGUACCUAUCCCUGUAAUAGCUAGUUCUUGCUUUACCCGAACCAAACGGUACCUAACCGAACUAGUUGGAACCAUCUCGAUUCUUAUCCUAAACGAAGUAGUUAGAACGACCUCUGCAACCGAAGUAGUUGGAAUCAUCUCGAUUCUUAUCAUAACCGAAAUAAUUGGAACAACCUCUGCCUUAUGCGCAACGGUUGAAAUUUAUCCGGAUGGUUUGAUCAUCCCGAAUCAUGGCUCUCCAAUUUUUUAGAGGAACCAGUACCUGCUGG
rnacentral:lncRNA from 1 species